rnacentral:lncRNA from 1 species
AAUGUUUAACCAAUUAACAAAGAUAACAUUUUUCACAUUCCAAGGUAGAAUGAGUUCCUAAUUGGUACAAAAAAUCAAUGAUGCAUCAAUAGAUUCCUUCUGGUUACGGAUUUGGCAUAUUACCAAAAUCAUAUUCAUCAAUAACAGGAACAUUGGAAGGACUAAUCUUUAGGAUAUUUUUCCAACAAAAAGUUCACAAUUGCAAUUCAG